CCGACUUGUACCUUAGACCAGGCCCCUUUAGGCUGGGAUACCCCAGAGAUGUACGGGAAGGAAACCAGGGAAGACCCGACGCUAGCAAAGUACAGGGCCAGGGCCGAUUCUGGGGGAGAAGGAGUAGACGGGGAGCACUACGAGUGGGUGGGGGAUAGACUGUACAGGAUCCCGAAACCAUCCCAGAAGCCGAGUACCCCUCCGCAGAAUCGACAGCUAGUGGUACCUGCCAAAUACCGGCAGGAGAUUCUGCGGAUUGGGCAUGAUGUGCCAUUAGCAGGCCAUCUAGGUUCCCGCCGCACAGCUCAUAGGAUCACACAAAACUUCUUCUGGCCCAAUUUUAACCGAGAUG